rnacentral:tRNA from 1 species
GUCUCGGUGGUGUAGUGGACAAGACGCCCGACUGGUAAACAGAAGGUCCUGGGUUCUAGCCCAGCCGAGGUA